rnacentral:rRNA from 1 species
GAGUUUGAUCAUGGCUCAGGAUGAACGCUAGCGGCAGGCUUAACACAUGCAAGUCGAGGGGUAUAGUUCUUCGGAAUUAGAGACCGGCGCACGGGUGCGUAACGCGUAUGCAAUCUACCUUUCACAGAGGGAUAGCCCAGAGAAAUUUGGAUUAAUACCUCAUAGUAUAACGACUCUGCAUGGAGGUGUUAUUAAAGUAACAACGGUGAAAGAUGAGCAUGCGUCCCAUUAGCUAGUUGGCAAGGUAACGGCUUACCAAGGCUACGAUGGGUAGGGGUCCUGAGAGGGAGAUCCCCCACACUGGUACUGAGACACGGACCAGACUCCUACGGGAGGCAGCAGUGAGGAAUAUUGGACAAUGGGCGCAAGCCUGAUCCAGCCAUGCCGCGUGCAGGAUGACGGUCCUAUGGAUUGUAAACUGCUUUUGCACAGGAAGAAACAACGCUACGUGUAGCGUCUUGACGGUACUGUGAGAAUAAGGAUCGGCUAACUCCGUGCCAGCAGCCGCGGUAAUACGGAGGAUCCAAGCGUUAUCCGGAAUCAUUGGGUUUAAAGGGUCCGUAGGCGGUUUAGUAAGUCAGUGGUGAAAGCCCAUCGCUCAACGGUGGAACGGCCAUUGAUACUGCUAGACUUGAAU